rnacentral:tRNA from 1 species
GGAGAUAUAGCUCAGUGGUAGAGCACAUGCUUAGCAUGCACAAGGUCCUGGGUUCAAUCCUUAGUACUUCCA